CUUAAGUCCGUUUUUCGCGUAGACUUCCGUUCUUGGGCUAUUUUUCGCCAAAUUCGAGGGUCGGGAUGCCCCGAGUGAUUAUAGAAAGUUGGGAGAGAUUUCGAGAGAGAUUUGAGAGAGAUUCCUCGUUCUCAGAGAGAUUUGGGAGAGAUUUGACGUACUUGGAGAGAUUUCACAUACAAAGAGAUAUUUGAGAGAGAUUUCACAUUCUUAGAGAGAUUUGGGAGAGAUUUGACAUACUUGGAGAGAUUUCACAUACAAAGAGAUAUGUGGGAGAGAUUUCACAUACUUAGAGAGAUUUGGGAGAGAUUUGACAUACUUGGAGAGAUUUCACAUACAAAGAGAUAUGUGGGAGAGAUUUCACAUACUUAGAGAGAUUUGGGGGAGAGAUUUCACAUACUUAGAGAGAUUUGGGAGAGAUUUGACGUACUUGGAGAGAUUUCACAUACAGAGAGAUAUUUGGGAGAGAUUUCACAUACCUAGCGAGAUUUGGGAGAGAUUUCACAUACUUAGAGAGAUUUGGGAGAGAU
rnacentral:lncRNA from 1 species